rnacentral:lncRNA from 1 species
AAUUUUCCAAUUGUUUUUCAUGUAGCUUCUGCAGAACUUUUAGUAAAUUUAUUCCUAGAUAUUUUAAAUUAAGUACUCCAGUGAGCAGGAAUUCUUUUAUUAUGCUUUUUAAUUGCUAAAAUUCUGGCAUGUAGUAAACAUUUUAUAUAUUAAUUUUAUAACUAACGAUGUUUCUAAACUCCUAACUAGUUCAAAUAAUUUUUCAGUUUAGUCUCAUGGGUUUUCUAGGUAGACAAUCAUAUUGUCCGUCAAUAAUAAUUUUUUCUUUCUUCUCCAACAAUUAUAUUUCUUAUUUCUCUUUUUUGCCCUUCUUCAUUGGCUAUAACUUCAGAAGAGUGUAAAGUGAAUAACUGUGAUGUCAUCUUUUAUCUUGCUCUUACCUUUAGUAAGAAUGCUCUUUAAAAAAAAUAUUCCUGCUACUUUACUUUUAAAUAUCAUAUUGACUGUUUGUCUCAGAGAGAAUUUUAAAUCAUAUCAAGAUAGAACAUUUCUAUUGCUCGAUUGUGAACAGCUUUUUAAAUUGAUGAUUAAUGUUUAAUUUAUAUCUUUUUGUUUUGAUUAGACUGACCAGAACAUUGUCUGUUUUACUGGGACAGGAGGCUGAAGCUUUUGAUCCAAUGCUCUUUUUAAUUGGACACUGGCCUUCCACUUAGGACUCAGCUGCUUCUCCAGGGAAGGACCCUCUGCUCUGUCCUUCUGCUGCAUAGGAUACAAAAACCCUCAGCUUUGGGUCAGAUUGGCCAUCUACCAUCUGACACUGCUCUUAGGGCUGAGUUGCUAAGCACUCAAAACUGUUUAAAUUUGUGUCACCCCAAAGUUAUAGCCUGCAAACCUAUCUUGCUACCAGCAUCUAUCUACUCUUAGGCUUGGAUUAGGGGAUGCAGAUAAAAUAAUUCUAAGAGAAUGUAUAGCUAUAAAUGCAUACACUAAGAAAAUAUAGUUCUCAAGAAACAAUAUAACAUUAUGAGGAACUAGAAAAAGAAAAAAGAAAACUAGGCCCAAAGUAAGCAGAAGAAAGAAAAUUUUAAGGAUUAGAGAAGGAACAAAUGAAAUAGAGAAUAGGAAAACAAAAGAAAAGAUUUUUUUAACCUAAUAGUUCUCUGAAAAGAUAAAGUUGACAAAUAUUUAGUUAGACUAACCAAGAAAAAGAGAGCGAGUUCAAAUAAAAUUGCAACUGAUACCACAGAAAUACGAAGGAUCAUAAUAGACUACUAUGAACAAUUUAUGCCACAAAUUGGAUCACCUAGAAGAAAUAGAUUUAUCACUAGAAAUAUACAACUGGUGUAACUAAAUCAUAAAGAAAUAGAAAAUCUUUACACUCAGUAAUAAGUGAGGAGAUUGAACCAGUAAUUUAAAAUCUCCAAGAAAAGCUAAGACCAGAUUACUUUACUAGUGAAUUCUACCUAACAUUUAAAGAAGAUUAACACCAGUCCUUCUCAAACUCUCCAAAAAACUAAAGACCAGGAACUCUCUCAAAUUCAUUCCAUUGGUGCUACUUACAGUAUCUUGAUACCAAAACCAGAUAAGGACAAUAAAAGGAAGAAAAACUAUAGGCCAAUAUCCCUGGUGAAUAUAGAUGCAAAAUACAAGUAAACAGAAUUCAACAGCAUACUGAAAGGAUCACACACAUUCCAGCAAGGAUGGUUCAACAUAUGCAAAUCAAUAAAUGUGAUAUAUCACAUUAAUAGAAUAAAAAAUAAAAUUAAGAUAAUCAUCUCAAUAGAUGGGGGGAUCAUUUAAAAAAAAAUUCAACAUCCUUUCAUGAUAAAAACUCUUAACAAAUUAGGUAUGGAAGGAAUAUACCUCAACAUAAUGAAGGCCAUAUAUAACAAGCUCACAGCUACUCAAUGGUGAAAGGUUGAAAGUUUAUCCUCUAAGAUCAGAAACAGGACAAGGGUGCCCACUCCUAUUCAACACAGUACUGGAAGUCCUAGCCAGAGGACUUAUCUACCUUUGGUAUUAAGGUGAUGGCCAGAACAAUCGGGCAGAAAAAGAAAUAAAAAGCAUCCAACAGAAAAGAAGAAGUAAAAUUGUCUCUCUUUGCACAUGACAUGAUCUUAUAUAUAAAAAACUCUAAAAAUUUUUUCUGAGUUAAAGCAGAAAUUUAUUAAAAUCUAUUUAUAUAGUGUUUUACAAACAACAAAAAAUGUACACAGUCCUCAUCAUUCGGCCAUCAACCCUAUUCUCAGAAGUGCUUUGAGAUACAAUGGCCAACAGACACAUGAAAAAAAUGCUCAACAUCACUUGGCAUCAGGGAAAUACAAAUCAAAACCACAAUGAGAUACCACCUCACACCAGUCAGAAUGGCUAAAAUUAAGAAGUCAGGAAACAACAAAUGUUGGCAAGGAUGCUGAGAAAGGGGAACCCUCUUACACUGCUGGUGGGAAUGCAAGCUGGUGUGGCCACUCUGGAAAACAGUAUGGAGGUUCCUCAAGAAAUUAAAAUACAGAAAUAUAGGUAAAUACCCCAAAGAUACAAAUGUGAUCUGAAGGGACACCUGCACCCCUAUGUUUAUAGCAGCAAUAUCCAUGAUAGUUGAACUAUGGAAAGAGUCCAGAUGACAGAUGAAUGGAUAAAAAAAGAUGUGGAAUAUAUAUACAACAGAAUAUUACUCAGCUAUCAGAAAAAAAAUCUUAUCAUUUUCAAGGAUAUGGAUGGGACUAAAGGGUAUUACGCUAAGUAAAAUAAGUGGAUCAGAGAAAGACAAUCAUAUGAUUUCGCUCAUAUGUGGAAUUUAAGAAACAAAACAGAGGAUCAUAGGGGAAGGGAGGGAAAAAUAAAAUAAGAUGAAUAAGAGACACUUAACUCUUGGAAAAUAAACUGAGGGUUUCUGGAGAGGAGAGGAGUAGGGGAAGGGGUAACUAAGUGAUGGGCAUGAAGGAGGGCAUGUGAUAUAAUGAGUACUGAGUGUUAGAUACAACUGAUGAAUCACUGAACUCUAAAACUAAUAAAACACUCUAUGUUAAUUAUCUGAAUUUAAAUAAAAUUAAAUUUAAAAAAGAAACCAUCAACAAAAAGAAGUGCUUUGAGAGAAGACAGAUUUCUCUGCCUUUCUCCUAAAAAAAAAAAAAUUCUGUUUAUACUCCUGAAAAUGAUGCAUUUAUUACAUCACCUCUUAUAAGAACAAUCCCACUGAGAUCCCAAAACCUGUACAGAGAGUGAAGAGAUCUUAGCAAAGAACCUCCUCCAGAAUGCAAUGCUUUAUCACAGAGGUGUAAUGUAGGAAACACAUAAAAAGGUGGCUGUCAGGGAUGCCUGGGUGGCUCAGUGGUUGGGUGUCUGUCUGCUUUUGGCUUGGGGCAUGAUCCUGGAGUUCUGGGAUCAA